rnacentral:rRNA from 1 species
GACGAACGCUGGCGGCGUGCUUAACACAUGCAAGUCGAACGAAGUGGCGAACGGGUGAGUAACGCGUAAUCAACCUGCCCUUCAGAGGGGGACAACAGUUGGAAACGAGUGCUAAUCCCGAAUACGGAGGGAGGGGAGUGCGUCUGAUAAGCUAGUUGGAGGGGUAACGGCCCAACAAGGCGAUGAUCAGGAGCAGGUCGGAGGGGAGGAUCGGCCACAUUGGGACGUGGACCCGGCCCAGACUCCUACGGGAGGCAGCAGUUGGGAAUCUUCCGAAAUGGACGAAAGUCUGACGGAGCAACGCCGCGUGGUUGAUGACGGCCUUCGGGUUGUAAAGCUCUGUUAAUCGGGACGCGGUACCGGAAUAGAAAGCCACGGCUAACUACGUGCCAGCAGCCGCGGUAAUAC